UACGGGGGGGGGCAAGCGUUGUUCGGAAUUACUGGGCGUAAAGGGCUCGUAGGCGGCCAACUAAGUCAGACGUGAAAUCCCCAGGCUCAACCUGGGAACUGCGUCGGAUACUGGAUGGCUUGAAUUCGGGAGAGGGAUGCAGAAUUCCAGGUGUAGCGGUGAAAUGCGUAGAUAUCUGGAGGAAUACCGGUGGCGAAGGCGGCAUCCUGGACCGACAUUGACGCUGAGGAGCGAAAGCUAGGGGAGCAAACGGG
rnacentral:rRNA from 1 species